rnacentral:misc_RNA from 1 species
ACAACUCCAACAAACAACUUCUUGUCUCCGUGCUCUCUGUUUCUUCGUACCAUAAUGGGUAAAGAAAAGGAAAAAGAAAAAGGAGACAAGAAGUUGUUUGUUGGAGUUGUAAUGAACUGCGCUGCAGAGCUUAAGCUUCUUUUAGCAGCUCUUUUUAUUCUUUGCAGUAUAGCUACUCUUCUGCAGUUUAUUCCUUCUCGUUUCUCUAUCUCUACCUCUGAUCUCCGCUUCUGUAUCUCCAGAAUCACCACCAC